GCUAUAUGAAAUUGAACUUGGUAACUCCUCUUUCCACCCCAACCCCUUUGCCAUCUGAACCUGGUUUAGGGGCCAAUUUGUUGCUGAGUUCAAUGUGGAAGCAGCUCAGCAAGGGAUUGUGUACAUUGAUGAAGUCGAUAAGAUAACUAAGAAGGCUGAGAGCUUAAACAUCAGCAGAGACGUAUCUGGAGAGGGCGUUCAACAGGCAUUGCUGAAAAUGCUUGAAGGAACUGAAAUGCUGUUGUAGAUACAAAACAGAGUGAGAAAAAUUAUUUCUUAUUCAACAACUUCAUCAUUAAGUGUGUUAGUCCCUCUUGAUGCGAAGAUAUGAAGCAACCCUCCUUUCCUCUCUUACAAGGGAGGUAUAAGCCCCUAGGAGGUCAGUAGACAUGACUAUCCUGAGCAUACAUCUGUUACCUAUCAAAAAAUAAAAAAUGAAAAAUCUUGAGGAUACUCUUGGUUUUAUAGCACUUUGAAGUUAAAAAGGGAAUUAAAAACCUAAAUCUGUUGCUUGUAAAAUCCCACAAGAAUGGAUGUGAUUCCCCUUAUUUGAUAGUUUGCCAAACCCCAACAUGAAAUUGUACUUGGAAGGAAAUUUUCUGAAGUUUUCUUCCUCUCCUCUCUUUUCCUUCACUAUGACCCUGAUACCAUGAUUGUGAGGCUUAUAGCUUAGAGCUGUGUUCUGGAAGAGCUUACUGUGUUUCUUAAAAAUUCAACUCAUCGGGGAAUCUUUUUCUGAUGCCUUUCCUUGAUGUCUGCAUCUCUCAUGCUCUUCAAAACAUUUUACAAUAAUCUAGUAGUUCAUUAAGGACAUUGAAUUGUGAAUAAACAAUUGAAUGUUUCUUAAAGUUUGUAAUCUCACUGUUAUCUUCAGACUUCAGAUGUUCUUUCUGUUAUGAAUCUCCUGAUUCUGUUGUAA